rnacentral:rRNA from 1 species
UACGAAGGGGGCUAGCGUUGCUCGGAAUUACUGGGCGUAAAGGGCGCGUAGGCGGUUCUAUAAGUCAGGCGUGAAAUUCCUGGGCUUAACCUGGGGGCUGCGCUUGAGACUGUGGGACUUUGAGGUCAGAAGAGGGUCGUGGAAUUCCCAGUGUAGAGGUGAAAUUCGUAGAUAUUGGGAAGAACACCGGUGGCGAAGGCGGCGACCUGGUCUGAUACUGACGCUGAGGCGCGACAGCGUGGGGAGCAAACGAGGA